UUUAAAAUUAUUUUGACACAACAUACUUUAUAUAUAUAUCUUAAAUAUUUUUAUUUUGUAUAAUAACAAGAAUAUAAAAUCACACUUUUCAAUAGAAGCACAUCACAAGAUUGUUUAAGACAUCAAAACCAUGAAAAUACAUGCAUCCUUGAUAUUCAUGUUCAUCCUAUCUUUCUUUGCUUUACAUCAGUGUGCAAAGAUGAAUGUUAGAGGAAUAGAGGAUUCAAACAUAGUCAUACCAUCAAAUUGUGUUCAUGUUAUGUGUUCUAGAAUAUUUGUAAGAGAUUGUUGGUGCUGUCCAGGACCAGAUCGCAAAUGUUGGAAAGACGAAACUUCAUGUGAUGCUAUAUGUCCUCGCCCUCAUCUUCCUCCAAAGUAAUGUUUGAUAAAUCUUAAUGUAUUAGAAAUUGUUGUUCACCUUGUGACCCAAAUUAAAGUAUUAAA